AAAUACUUUAAUUUUUCAGAAAAUUGCCUUGUAAUCUAUUGCAUUUUAUGUAUGAAUUCUACCAGUCAGUUAUGUAGAAGCUGUAAAGCCUCUCCUCUGAAGUGCAGCAUUAUAAAGGAGUUUCAGUUUAGUUCUCCAGCACCGGGGCUGGAGCAGUAUUAGCAUUAGCCGCUAAUCGCCAUUUCCCAGUUCAGAGAAGUUGAGGAGUUGAGGUGAUCAGGAUGGACAGCAGCACCAGCCUAGAGAUUGGAGUGAGUGAGCAGAGUGUAAUUGGCGCUCUACAUGCAGGUGCUCUCCCGAGGCCGACAGUAAAGGAGCGUGAAGCUAGCUGGAUGAGUGACCCACUGAGCCGCAGGAGUGGAGGGUGGUGGACGGGAGCAUCUUGGCAGCAUCUGCCCAGCAAGAUUGUACCCAGCAUGACUGAGGAUCAGUGAGGACCAGCCAAAAGCAGCUGAUGAGGGAUAAGUUGUUUCGGGUUUUUGGGAAGUCGUCCUGGUCCGGUGCCAGGGAGCCGAGAGCUGAAGGAUUCCUCAUAUAUGACUCGCCCCCGUGGUUAACUGGAAGGCCGCAGCGGAACGCGAACCAUCAGCGGCUCAUCAAAACUACAAGGGUGUCCGCCGCAUGCAGGCAAUCGUGGCCCCUUUUUUCUCUCUUUUUUGACAAUUAAUCAUCGUCAGAGGUCGGCGCCCGGACAGGCGGAGUGAUUUAAGGGCUGCUUGUCGCUUGAGUCAGAGGAAGUGGGGCUCUAAGCUAGAGCGUCUGAAAUGAAAAGCAAAUGGGGCCUGAUUUAAAAAAGACUGAGAACCAGGUGCCGAAAGCCAAACAGACUACUGGUAGUGUUGGGAUGUGAGGAGGGGGCUGAAGUGGGGGAGUCUCUGGCUGCCGGCUAUAUGUGACUCACUCGGAGUCAUAUAGCACCUCCAUAUUCACACACCAACACACUUCCAGAAUAUUUAAACCCUUUAACCUUUAAUUGUCUGUGUGUGUGUGUGGUCUCGUGGUUCAUUUACUCACUGUUAGUUAGUCAGCUCAACUACAUAAUAUUAACUUUAUAGUACUUAACAAUAACUCAACAAUAGUUCUAUUCAUGGUCUAUACCUGCUUAUUCAUUUCAUUGUUUCUUUUUUAAAAAUCAUCCUGCAUUUUACUGGAGCGUUGCUGUGAGGAUUUUUUUUUUAUUGUGACUCUAGUAAGGUACAGGGGUAUCGCAAUCUUUUCCUUCUUAUUCAGCAGGUCUCACCUCUGACUGGCUAAUGCUGCUCCAGCAGUGCUAGUCGGAGUUAGCAGCAGGGUGCAUGUCGGUAAUACUUUCCUCUGAACUAAACUGUGGUAAAAGGAGGAAAAAAAGAACUGGAAACUUAAAUAGCCAUUCUGUGUAAACACACGUAGCUUGGUGUUUUUAUCUUAAUUUUUAUAGUUUGUCUACCCUAACAACAGUAACUGGUAGAGGUGGCUUACCAGUAUCAAUGGGUCUCAGUGUCUGGCCAACAUUUUACUGGUAAUUUUACUGGUAAUGUUCCAGCUUUGUAUCACUCACACAUUACUUUGGAAACUACUAGGAUGCAUGCGCUCACAGUUGCAGCGAAAUUCUUAUUAAACGAAACAUGGCGACCUCAGAAUGCACAAAAUAAUCCCUGUAGUGUUUUUUUUUUUUUUUUUUACAUUUAACUAAAGCAUCACUGGGACUUUUCCACAUUCCACGUGGACUUCAGUAUCAAUGAGUGGGGCUAAACUGUGGUAGGCUGAAUUGUGAAUCGUUAAAGAUGAAUGUAUGUAAAUGAGUUGGUUCUUUUGAUAUCAGAGAAAAAGUGCUUUGAGAACAAGCUUGUUUGGGUGUUAGUUUCCAUAUAUGGACUUUUUGUACUGUGGGGUUAAUGGUGUGGGUUGAAAUGUUAACAGUGUUUCAUAGGAAAUUUAGUUUUCCAUUAUAUGAGUUUUUUAAGAUAAUAAGAUAAUAGUUAAUAAAGCGGCUUUUUAAGCAAGCA
rnacentral:lncRNA from 1 species